rnacentral:miRNA from 1 species
UUGAGCUUGGCCUUUGAUCCU